rnacentral:rRNA from 1 species
AACGAACGCUGGCGGCAGGCCUAACACAUGCAAGUCGAGCGAGGACUUCGGUCCUAGCGGCGGACGGGUGAGUAACGCGUGGGAACGUGCCCUUUGCUUCGGAAUAGCCCUGGGAAACUGGGAGUAAUACCGGAUGAGCCCUUUGGGGGAAAGAUUUAUCGGCGAAGGAUCGGCCCGCGUUGGAUUAGGUAGUUGGUGGGGUAAUGGCCUACCAAGCCGACGAUCCAUAGCUGGUUUGAGAGGAUGAUCAGCCACACUGGGACUGAGACACGGCCCAGACUCCUACGGGAGGCAGCAGUGGGGAAUCUUAGACAAUGGGGGAAACCCUGAUCUAGCCAUGCCGCGUGAGCGAUGAAGGCCUUAGGGUUGUAAAGCUCUUUCAGCUGGGAAGAUAAUGACGGUACCAGCAGCAGAAGCCCCGGCUAACUCCGUG